rnacentral:SRP_RNA from 1 species
CGUGGUCCUGCCAACGUCUGGCCCGUGAACCCCGCCAGGCCCGGAAGGGAGCAACGGUAGCGGUGUCCAGCGUGUGGCGGGGCCCUUCCU